CCCCUAGACGUUCUGGGCUGCACGCGCGCUACAAUAAUACGCACAGCGAGUAUCACCGAGCUCGAAAGGGCAAGGUAAACAAUAGAAAAGGUACUGUACUGGUUAUAGAUCCUUGUAAUUAUUGAUCUUCAACGAGGAAUUCCUAGUAAGUAUGUGUCAUCAUCACGCACUGAUUACGUCCCUGCCCUUUGUACACACCGCCCGUCGCUCCUACCGAUUGGGUGAGCCGAUGAAACUCUCGGAUGUAGGCUAUUCAUAGCCCGCAGAAGAGAUUUGAAUCGUAGCGCUUAGAGGAAGGAGAAGUCGUAACA
rnacentral:rRNA from 1 species